rnacentral:rRNA from 1 species
GCAAAACGCGAAGAACCUUACCAGGUCUUGACAUCCCGCUGCCCGCUCUAGAGAUAGAGUUUUCCCUUCGGGGACAGCGGUGACAGGUGGUGCAUGGUUGUCGUCAGCUCGUGUCGUGAGGUGUUGGGUUAAGUCCCGCAACGAGCGCAACCCUUGAUCUUAGUUGCCAGCAUUCAGUUGGGCACUCUAAGGUGACUGCCGGUGAUAAACCGGAGGAAGGUGGGGAUGACGUCAAAUCAUCAUGCCCCUUAUGACCUGGGCUACACACGUGCUACAAUGGACGGUACAGAGGGUCGCAACCCCGCGAGGGUGAGCAAAUCCCAUAAAACCGUUCUCAGUUCGGAUUGUAGGCUGCAACUCGCCUACAUGAAGCCGGAAUCGCUAGUAAUCGUGGAUCAGCAUGCCACGGUGAAUACGUUCCCGGGUCUUGUACACACCG